rnacentral:sRNA from 1 species
GCCGAGCGCAGCGGCCUUCGGGAUACCUGCGACGAGGAUCAGCCGGCCAGUGCCUCGAUUGCUAGAAAACCCCGGCAGCC